AAGUCAUGUUGCUAGACUGAAGCAGGCUAUAUUUUGUUCAGCUCUUGAAUUUCUCCUUGGAUCUGAUAUUGAAUAGCCUUAUCAAGGCUUAUCGUUGUCCUUGGUAGAUAUUCUUAAUGGAUUAUCUUGACCCCCGUUUAGGAUAACUGAAGUGUCAAAUUAAAAUUGGCGCCAAUUAGUUUAAUUGGUUAAUUCUGCUCCCUGCAACGUACCAUAUAUCAAGAGAGUGCUGCCAAAUGGAGUAUUUCAUCACCAAUUACGUAUCCUAUUAAAACUUUAGAAUGGAGUUGUUUUUUCUUUAGGUUCAAAUGAUAAUUGAAUGAUUCAGUGCGCUAAUGUGCCCGCAUUAAAUAAAGAAGGAAAACAGAAGUCACUUCUAUUCUAUAAAGCGUAUACAUUUGAGUUUUGUUCCCAUGGUAAUGACAUUUGAAAGACUCUCCUCCACACAAUGAUGUACGGACGUGCAGGCUGUGAUGGGCGAUCUAGAGGUCUAGUCAAUAAUGAAGACAACAUAGGAGAUCGAUGGCCGCUGACGAAGAUGGUUGCUACUGCUGCUUGUCAGAAUGGAAGAAACAUCUGAACAGCUAAACCUGAACAUUUCUGACAUUUACAGAGAUCUGAAGUGGGGAGGGGCAGCGUUCCGUAUUGUUUUCUGUUCUUUUUUCCCCUGGCGCUGCCUCGGAGUGGGGCUCGAACAGAAUGCGGCUUUAAGUUGGAGAUGAACGACCACAACGUUUUAAAAGCCCAGCAAACAACCAAGAAACUGAUGACCGUUGCUAGAGAGGACAGUAAAUACGGGAGGCAUUGUUGACCUUGAGUGACCUUUAUUGAUUAUAGUUGCAAGCCUUAUGUUGACUUUCGUCUCUGUCUAAAUAUUGAACAGUAUCACUAACCUAGAUAUAACCCCAUGGAAUAUUUUUGUAUAUCGAUCUAAGUGUUCAUAUUAAUAUUGAUCUCAAUUCAUACUUAAAUUGUAAUUGACAAUCAUAAGUAACAUAAAAUUGAUUUUAAAGAGUUACAAAUGUUUGACUGUAUUGUGUAAGUAUAAUCCUAAGCUUCCAAUUUAAGAGUUAUAUAUCUAAAUAAAAUAAACCAAAUACAUUUCAGAGAACCAUGCGUCUGCAAGGCCUUUUUAUAAUGCUCAGUUGGCCACACUAUUCAUAACUAUUUAAGAUGAAAAUUAUGUAUAACGACUUGAAGGGCUUUAUUAAUGGCAUCCUCCACAAGUUUUGGGUUGUCAUUAAUUCCUAUGAAACGGUGGUCGCCUUACAAAUGUGAUGUAUUAACGAUUGUUACCAUCAUUAAGAGUAAAUAAUUGAAGUGAGUUGUCAUAGAAUGCCAAAUACAGACAAUUUGAUAUACAAUUAAAAUAUAUUAUACAGUAUACAAA